AGAAGAGAAUUUUAAAGCAGGCCUGUAAAAACUUCUUUUCAACUAGGACAUUGGUUAUCCAGUGUGGUCUUGGGGCCCCAGCGGGCCCCUAAGGUCCUUUCCAUGGGUUCAGAGGGUCAAAACUGUGUUCAUAAUAAUGACAUUAUUUGCUUUUCACUCUCAUUCUCUCAAGAGUGUACAGUGGGGUUCUUCAGAGGCUACGAUGUGAUAUGUGAUAACCCAACCAAUUGAAUGCAGAAGCUAGAUAUGAGAACCUAGUUGUCUUCUGUUAAGCCAGACAUGAAACAGGUUUGCAAAAAUAUCAAACAAUGCCACUUUUCUCAUAAUUUUUUUUGUUUUGGCAAACAGUUAUUUUCACAAAAAUGUGUUAUUCAUAUGUUAAUGUAUAAUGGGUUAUUUUUAAAAUGAAGUAAUGAACAGAUAUAUCCAAUUCCUAAUACAGUAAAUAUUGAUAGAUAUAACUUAUAUAAAGAAAAACUCUUUGGGGUCCUCAAAUCUUAAGGUAUAAAAGGGUCCUAAGACCAAAAGGUUUGAGAACCAUUAGGAUUUGGGGUUUUUUUUUGUUUUUUUGUUUUAUUUUAUAAUAGUGUUUUAUUUGAUAUAAUAGGAUGUGAAAGCCCUGAAAAGUUGUGGAACAUCAAAUUUUUGUAAUGGAAUAAAAUUUUAAAUGUGCUAACAGCUAAGUAAUGAAUCUUAUCUCAGUAGUAAAUGAAAUCUACUACAGAAUGAUCUACAUUCAGUAAAUUAUUCUACUCAUAAAGAGUCCUUUAACAUAGCAAACAAUCUAUCCUAAUAUAGCUGUUUUUAAGAUUUGGUGUUUCUGAAUAUUAGAGUUUCCUUAAGGAUCUCUACAUCAUAUAGUGAUCUGAAACAUGUGAAACCAUUUAUGUUGUAUGCAAAAAUUUGGAACAUACUGUCUUCAAAAUCUGAAAUGGAACAUAAAAAUAACAACAUACAUUUAUUGGAUACUUCACUGUGCAUCAGUUUCCAAGCUAAGCACUUGAUACAUGCCAUCUCAUUUAAUCCUCACAAGAAUCCUACAAGGAGCUGUUAUGAGAAGAAUCUGGGAUUGCAAUGUCCCCCCAAAUAGAGAGGGAGCCGAGAGACCAAAGAAUGACUCAGACAAGUCCAGGUUGGCAAGUAGAUGCAUUUAUUAGAACUUCCAUAUAAGGCACUCCUGGGAAGCAGCUGAACAACUGUGGAGACCCAUCCUGCCUCCUGACUCUAAGCUGCUUUUAAGCUAAUUUUCUGGCUCUUUGCCUACUGUGUAUGUGUGAUAGGACUGUUUUCCUUGGUAUGUUCCCAGAUAUUCUCUGGGAUAUUUGGGUUCUCAGGGAUACCUGCUUCUUGGCUGGGCACCAUGCCCUUGGCUUACCCCCCAGCCUUCAGGGUUCAAGCAGUGGACAUACACCCUUACAUAACCUGGUGAAGGACCUGUCACACUACAGCAGCUUUAUAAAAAGAUAUAAAAAGAUAAAGUAUUAUACCCUAACAAUAUUUGACAUUUUACCUUUAGCUUCAGUUAUUAUUCUUUUAAAAAUUAGAACAUAAAAAGAUAUGCUGAAGUUAAUGUUUCCAGUUACUUGUUUUAUAGUUAUUGAUCAUGCUUGCCAGAAUGUCUUCACUUGCAUCAUGCUCUCUCCCUGUCUGUGUGGGCCCGUCCAGGCUCCCUGAUGGUACCUUCUCAGUUUCUUCCCCUGCUGCAGCUUCCUUUCCCUGUCCUUCCAUUUAGAUGUUACCGUCACUUCAUCCCCACCUUCCUUCUCAUCUCUUCUACAGUUUGAUGCUGCUGGGCAAUUUCAUCCACUUCCUAGGCUUCAGUUCUCAACCAUCUACUGAUGAUGACUCCCAAAUGUUUAUCCCUGCCCUGACUACCUACCCUGUAUGUCUUUCUGAAUAUAACGCUCUUAAUCCCAACUGUUUAUUAUACUCAUCUCUAAAUGACUGUCCCAGAGGUGUCUCAAACUCACCUUGUUAAAAAGUUCUUCCUUUCUUCCUUUCUCAAAUGUGCUCUUCCUUUCUCUCCCCAUUGUGUUUAAUGGCAUCACUAGCAUCAUUUCCAAGCUAGAAACUAUGGUUAUAAUUAACUUAUUGCUAGUCCUCAAUUCCCACAUGCAUUGAUCAAGAGGCCUAUCAGUUCUACCUCCAAACUAUCUCUAUGUUAGUAUAUAUUCCCCUUCUCCAUCUUCACUGAAAACUCCCAUAGUGACUCUGGAAUCAAUCAUUCAGUGAAUUGAGGUUAUCUCUUAACAUGUUUCUGGGUCUCUUGUCUCUCUCUUCUCCAGUUUGAUCCCCACUUUACAGCUACAGUUAUCUAAAACACAAGUCUGACCAUGUCAUUCUCCUUAAAAACCUUCCCUGGCCCAUAGGAUUAACCCUUGGCCUUUCCUUCACAUGAUAAAAGUCAAGAGUACAGUUUUCAAGCCAGAUAUAAUACGAGUGCAAUAUUUUGAUAGUAUACUCCCUUCAUCUUUUUUCAGGAAGCGAAAUGUGGUGAUUUUAAAGCUGUUAUAGUGGAAGUAUCAGGACAAGCCCAUUACACGGGUACAGCAAGCUUUAUAAUAGAAGAUGACGACCCAUUGAGGGAUGGAUUUCUUCUCAAGUGACUUCUUCCAUGAUUUUAAGGGCUUUCUUUUUAAAGUAAUCAUUAUCCUUAAGGACUGUUUUCUCUAAAUUAUAUGAAAACAAAUAAAUUAUACAUAUAAA
rnacentral:lncRNA from 1 species